rnacentral:rRNA from 1 species
AAGAGACAGCAGCAGCCACGGGAAUACGAAGGGUGCAAGCGUUAAUCGGAAUUACUGGGCGUAAAGCGUGCGUAGGCGGUGAGUUAAGUCUGCUGUGAAAUCCCCGGGCUCAACCUGGGAAUGGCAGUGGAUACUGGCUCGCUAGAGUGUGUCAGAGGAUGGUGGAAUUCCCGGUGUAGCGGUGAAAUGCGUGGAGAUCGGGAGGAACAUCAGUGGCGAAGGCGGCCAUCUGGGACAACACUGACGCUGAGGCACGAAAGCGUGGGGAGCAAACAGGAUUAGAUACCCGCGUAGUCCCUGUCUCUUAUAC